AAAGAAGAGGAGAAGAAAUAGCGGAAGACGUCGCGGAAGAUCACUUACAGGAAUUGGUACAUAGAAGCUUGAUUCAAGUGGCUGACAGGAGUUUCGAUGGAAGAGUGAUGUCCUGUCACAUGCACGAUCUGCUCCGAGACCUUGCCAUUUCUGAGGCCAAAGAUACAAAUUUUUUUGAGGGAUAUGAAAGCAUUGAUUCUACAUCCCCUGUGAGUGUUCGUCGACUAACCAUUCAUCAAGGUAAGAAGACUAAUUCUAAACACUUGCAUACUUCACGUAGUCUCCGAUCUUUCAUUUGUUUUUCUGUAUGCUUCCAAGAAAACAUUUUGAGAUCUUUACACAGGCGUGUCAAAUUGCUCACUGUACUGGACCUAGAACGCAUGCCUAUCAAUACCAUCCCAGAAGGCAUAGGAGAACUUAUCCACCUUAAGUACCUGUGCUUAAGGGAAACCCGCAUAAAAAGGCUUCCAUCGUCCAUAGGUCGUCUUUCAAAUCUACAAACCCUAGACUUUCGAAACACUUUAAUUGAAAUAAUUCCUUCUACCAUUUGGAAAUUGCACCAUUUGAGACAUCUAUACGGUCGUGGUGUGGUUUCAAGCCAGUCAGUGAUAGAUAAGUGCAGGAAUGGUCCUUUGAGUGUUGGCCACCUAACAAACCUCCAAUCGUUAGGUUUAAGAGCAGGCAGUUGGUGCUGUGGUGAAGGCUUGGGAAAAUUAAUUGAGCUUAGAGAACUGACAAUUCUAUGGACCGAAAUCGCACAAACAAAGAACCAGGGAUUUUCCGAGUCAGUAAAAAAGCUAACUGCUCUUCAAUCCUUGCGUUUGUAUGCUAUACAAGAGGAAAUAACCAUGCCGCACCUCAUGCCUUUCUCAGACCACACCUACCUUUACCAUCUAAGCUUAAGUGGAAGGCUCGAAAGGUUCCCUGAUGAAAUUGAAUUCUACCCUCCAAACCUCAUCUCCUUGGAAUUGCAAUGUUGGAAUAUAGAGCAAGACCCAAUGGUGACCCUAGAGAAGCUGCCAAACUUGAGAUUUCUCACAUUAUCCCUUGGUUUCUCUAUGGUAAAGAAGAUGGUCUGUGCUUCUGGAGGAUUCCAGCAACACGAAACCCUUAAGCUCUCGAAUUUGAAAGAAUUAAAAGAAUUGAUUGUGGAGGAAGGGGCAAUGCCUUAUCUGAAGGAUUUAGUAAUUGAACAUUGCCCUAAAAUGAAAAGGGUUUCCCAUGGAUUGCUGCAACGAAAAACUUUGCAGCACCUAAAGUUGUAUUAUUUGUCUCCUGAGUUAAGGGAUGAGCUUUCUCGGAUAGAAGGAGAAGAUCGGGAGAAGAUCUGCCUCGCCACCUCAAUACGCGGGUGGAGGCGUACGGCAUCAUGAAGGCUCAGGAGAAGUUUCAUAAAGCGCUACCAGGAAAUGCUUGGACUAUAUAGAAGAGCAUUUCCAAUGCAACAAAUCUUUCUCUACUUGUCUAAGCUCGUCUUUUUCCUUGUUUUUUCUGCUUUUGUGAAACAUACGUGUUUGUGUAAGAUGCUUCCACGUUUUCAAAUAAAGUGAUCAUGCAGUUUAUAAUUGAACCUCACUGGAGUUUUAAUAAGAGAAAACCAACAGAAUACAUGCAAGAGUAGAAGCCCGUACACUUCUAAAAGCUGAGGCAUGCUUAGGAAGUGUUUUUAAAAAACAGUUUUUAAGAAUAAAUUUAUAAUAUUUUCAUAAAUAAAAUUAUAUUUGAAAGUUGAAUUCUAAAAAACAGUUUUCGUUCUUAAAAACAUGUUUAAUUAGUUAAUAAAAACAACUUUUAACAAUAAAUAAAAUGAAAACUUGUUUGGAAGUUGUUAUUGUUGGUUUUUUAUUUUAUUUUUUUAAAGUUGGGUAUUUUCUUUAAUUAACCUGAUAUUGUAAAAUUAUAAAUAAUUUUUACAUUCACACUUCAUUAAAAAUAAAAAAUAUUCCAUUUUCAAAUUUUUUUUUUGCAUCAAUUUUAAUUUUUUAAAAUAAAAUAUUACUUUGUAAACAUGUCUAAGUAUGUUUGAUUUCAAUAAUUGGUAAAUUAUUUGAGCAAAAUAUCAUAAAUUGGUAAAUAUUAAUAAUUGGAUUUUAUUGGAUAAAAUUUAUGAUAUCAAACAAUAAUGCAUUAUACUUGGAAACUUAUGAUCUAUUUUUUCUAUUUUAAAUGUAAUUAAUAAUAUAAAAAAUUAAUAUAUUUAUGAUAACUUUAACAAAAUUAAUUUAUUUGUAAAAAUUUAUUAAUUUUUACUAUUUUACAUAUAUAUAUAUAUAUAUAUAUAUAUACACACACACUAGUAGAAAGCACAUGUGUUGCACGUGAAGAUAUAUGUAGGUAUGCGAUUGUUGAUAUAUGAAAUUAAUGAAAUUACAUUGUACUUGUAGGAAAAUAGAUCAAAUAUAAUAUUACUGUAGACAUAUUUGUGUCAUAAUCUAUACAUUUUGUAAUCCAUCAUUAUUGUGAUGUAUCAUUUAAGAAAAUUAACUUAGUUGUUUUCUUACAAAAGUUUGGAGGAAUUAUGAUCAUUAACUACUUGUUUGUCUUUGCAGUAGUCUGCACUAUAGUCUUUUUUUUUUCCUCAUGCAGAAAAGUUACACAUAUUUGAAAAUGUAUUAGUUGAAAUAGAAAAAUAAUGUUUCAAAAAAAUAUAUGGGCAAAAUAUUUCAACAUAAGCUAAUGGUACAUUACCUUAUAUUAUUUUUUGGGUUUUUUUUUUUUUGCUCAUUUUUCUCUCGAUGUUUAUAAAUUUGCAUUGAAGAAAUAAGUUUUAUUAUUUUUAAAUUCAAUUUAGAAAAUGGUAAUAUUGUGAAAGUUACAUUCAUUUAUAAUGAUACCAACAUAUACUUACCUCAAUAAUAUAAAAUUAUUCUCUUUGAUGUUUCUUUUUCCAGAAAUGAGUUGGAAAUAAGAUAAGUUUUGUUUAUAAAAUUUCAAUUUAAUUAUUUUGGGCAAAAGUAUAUAAUAUAUUGGACAUACCUGUUAAGAAAGUUGACAUCCUAUGGUCUUUUUGAUGAGUUUGUUUAAUAAGUUUCACCUAACUGAGAAUAGUAUAAAGAUAAAUUUAUGUGUAAUUCUAUUAAUAUUGUUAUAUUAUCGAUAAAAAGAUACAUACAUGUGGACCCCACAUUUCGGGUCAUGCAUUUACCACUCUAUGACGAGCUCGAUUUUUAUUUGAAAAUAAUUUUAUUAUUAAAAAAAAAUGACUUAGAGUCGCCACUUAUUUUUGUUUUAGUUUUAAAAGGGUAAACAAAAUAAGAAAGAAAACCCUAAGUGUGACUCGUUAUUUUGGAAAAGGUGGUCUAUGAAAAACCGGAUUAGGCUCGGGGGUCGGGUUACUUAUCGGGAAGGUACGGUAAAGACUAUAGCACCCCUCUAAGUCCCUAAAGUCGAGUCUCUACUAAUAAAAUGAAGCUGACGUGACAAUCAAUAGGAAAAUUAAUGGAUACUCAAAUCGGUCAUGCAUAUAUGGGAAUCAAAACAUGUAUAGAGAAUGACUAGAAUGGGAGUGGAUGGGUACUUAGGCCACGAACGAGCAAUGCGCUAUCAUAAAAAUGGGGUCAGUGUACAAUAAAGAGCACAAAACGUAUCACAUGCAUCACCAAACAUAAAUUAAAACUGCUCGAGGGAAAAUUGGAUUUUUGAAAUUUAUUUGAAAAUUGGAGUCUUAGAGAUUAUUUGAAAAUUUGAGUUUUGGAGAUUAUUUGAAAAUUGGAUUUUUAGAAAUUAAAUGUAGGAAUGAGAAUUUUAGAAAUUAAAUUUGAAAGAAAUCGGAAUUUUGAAAAUUAUUUGAGAGUUUGGGAUUUUUAAAAAAUUAAAUUACGAAAUUGGGGCUUUUGGAAAUUAAAUUUUAAAAGAAAUCAGAAUUGAAAAUUAUUUUAGAAGUAGAAGCUAUGAAAAUUGAAUUAUAAAAAUUGGAAAUCUUAGAAAUCAUUCGAAGGUAGAAUUUUUAGAAGUAAAUUAAUAAAAUGAUAAUAAUAAUGAUAAUAAUAAGUAAGUAACGGAAUAAAUGCGAGAAUUAGAAUAUUGGAAAUUGAAAAUUAAGUUCGGAAAUUGAAAAUUUGGAAUUUCAAAAAACUAAAUUUGGAAAUCGAAAUUUUGAAGAAUUAUUUAAGGACAUAAUUUUAAAUAAAUGAAUAAGUGAAUAAAUAAAUGAAUGGAAUAAUAAUAAUGACGAAAUAAUAAUGAUUGGAUGAAUAAUUGAGGAAGUUAGAAUUUCGGAAAUUGGAAAUUGAACUUAGGGAUUGGAAAUUUAAAGAAUUAUUUAGGGAUGAAAUUUUAAAUACAUGAAUAAGUGAAUAAAUAAAUGAAUGAGAUAAUAAUAACGAAAAUAAUCAUUAAACAACAGAAUGUGAAUAGUGGAAUUUUUUAAAUUGAAAAUUAAAUUUGGAAAAUGGAAUUUUGAAAAAUUGAGAAUUUUUAAAAGAAAUAAAUAAAUAAAUAAAUAGAAUAAUAAUAAUAACAAUGAAAGCAAUAUUUAAAUGAAUGAACGUGAAAAGUAUUUUUUGAAAUUUGAAAAAUUAUUUAAAGAGGGAAUUUUUAGAAUAAACAAAUGGAAUAAUAGUAAUAACGAGAAUAAUAAUGAUUAGAUAUAAUAAUUGUGAAAAUUGGAAAGUGAAUUUAGAAAUUGGAAAAUUGAAGAAUUAUUUAGAGAUGAAAUGUCGGAAAAUUAAAUUUCGAAAGUUGGAAACCCGAAAAAUUAUUUUAAGGCUGGAAUGUUGGAAAAUUAAAUUUUGAAAACUGGAAACCCAAAAAAAAUUAUUUUAAUGAUGGAAUGUCAGAAAAUUAAAUUUCAAAAACUAGAAACCGAAAAAUUAUUUUGAAAAUGGAAUGUCUUGAAAAUUUUGUUUUGAUAUCAAAAUGUGAAGAAAUAAUAAAAAGAAAUAUGAAUUGUGGUGAUCUUCACGUGCACGUCUCCAGUAUAAUGGCCAUAAACCCAUUUUAUAUAUUCUUUUCCACCACCUGAACAAACAGCUUUUGCAUUAAGAUUGACGAGUGGGUGU
rnacentral:lncRNA from 1 species